CAAGGUUUCCGUAGGUGAACCUGCGGAAGGAUCAUUACAGUAUUCUUUUGCCAGCGCUUAAUUGCGCGGCGAAAAACCUUACACACUAUGUUUUUUUAAUUUGAAACUAUUGCUUUGGUCUGGCUUAGAAAUAGGUUGGGCCAAAGGUUUUAUCAAAACUUCAAUAUUUAUUAUUGAAUUGUUAUUUUUAAUUUUAUGUCAAUUUGUUGAUUAAUAUCAAAAAUCUUCAAAACUUUCAACAACGGAUCUCUUGGUUCUCGCAUCGAUGAAGAACGCAGCGAAAUGCGAUAAGUAAUAUGAAUUGCAGAUUUUCGUGAAUCAUCGAAUCUUUGAACGCACAUUGCGCCCUUUGGUAUUCCAAAGGGCAUGCCUGUUGAGGCGUCAUUUCUCUCUCAAAUCUUGGGAUUGGGUUUGGAGGGAUACUCUUAGUCGGACUAAGGGUUGGCUGGAAAGGUAUGGGCAGGAGGGGUACUGGAUAGGGCGGAACGGUUUUCAAGGUAUUGGGUUUAUCCAACUCAUGGACCAGUAAAGUAUUGGUUUAUUACACAGGCUGGGCCUUACAACAACAAACAAAG
rnacentral:rRNA from 1 species